UUCCUGAGAUCUGAGUUAAGCAUGGAGUGACAGCACUUGAGGAAUUGUAGCAAAGUCCACAUCUCCAAGAGAGGCUUUUAACUCCUUAGCCAACUGGAUAGUCAGAAACAGCCCUGGCUGCUGCUGCUAGCAAUCACAUCCUGAAGCAAUGUGGUAUUCAAGUAGGAGACUUUAUAUUGGGGGUCACAUUCUUGAGGAAAUGCAAAACAGCUCCCUCAUGUCUUCUGCACUCGGGAACUGAUGAGUCAUCCUUGCUGCAGAGAGUUAUGCACUGAGCAGAGACAGGAUUUUUCAGUGCAUUUAGUAUGGACUUGAUAACUCUCUUAUUGUUGUCAUGCAGAACAGAAGCUUCAUCUUUUAAGUCUAUGGUGCCUAAACUGAAUGGCCUUUAGUGUUAGUCUUUAAAUCUUUUAAUGUAGUGAUUAAACAUGACAGGGAUUAAGUCGCUGUCCAAUAACAGCCUACUUGGGUGCCUUGUUGGUUGGAUGCAAAGCACAAAGCCAAAUGCUCUUAAGCACCCAAGCAUGUUGCUGUUUCAAAGCAUAGCAAGCCCCAUCAUGUCUGGUGAUUAGUAAACAUUUCUUUUUUAGUGAUGAUAGUGUGGAGCAAAAAGCUGACAAAAAGAAAGUUUUCUAGAUCAACAAAAUAUAUUGUGGACAAAGGUUAGAACAAAAAUUGAGAGGUUUUAUCCUAGGUUUUAAAUAUAUGUAUGGCAUGAUUUAGAUAUACUUACAAGGCAUCUAGUCUAAUGGAAAAAGAACUUGCAAAUUCAUGAUUUCCUCAAGUAUCCAGGCAUGAGACUAAAUUAUGCAUGCAAGGUAAAUCAAAUAGAGUUUGACACAAAACCCAUUAACUAAUAAAACCAUUCUUUUAGUUGCCAAGUUGCCUAAAAAUCUCCGAGGAAAUGUCAGAAGGAAGGUGCCUGUGUGAGCCAUGGAGCCUUUAAUUAUAUCAGCACACAGCAUAUUAUUCUUGCAGGAUUUUUGAAAGAAUUGGUAUGUUUUUUUCUCCUCCUCAUUUUGUGUGGGUCUUAAGGUUAACAUACAGUUCAUGCAUGAUUUAAACACUGUUCUGGAGACAAUGUCCUUUGCUGGCUCCCUGGCCUUUUCCUAUGAUGCUAAUUACUAUAGCAACUGCGUGCUUCACAUGGCUUUAUUUUCAUAACAUCUGAAAGAGAUGAAUAGGUAACAUUACUGUGCUUUACAGAUUACAAUAGAAAAUUUGAGCUGAAGAAAUUAAGUAAGUUUGUUCAUUUAUUGAGGAAAAAUUCCAUUGCAAGAAAAUUAAAUUCUUCAUUGAUGGGUUUGCCUUUCAGUUGGAAACCCCUCUGGGAAGUGUGAUUGUGUCACUGGAAAUGUGAUGUUUUUGCUUCUUCCUCCAGAAAAAUAAAAUAAAAAUGUUUUUCUUCCAUGUGCUUGAAUUUAAGAGAACCACAUUUGGGGGUUUUGUACUGCUCCAAAUAUUUCAUUUGAAAUCUCUUCUUUUAAAAAAGAAGAAAACACAAUCAGCUGGGCGGAGUCCUUGGUGGGUUGUAUCUCCUAAUGCAUAUUCUCUGUACAGGGGUUAGAUGAUGCUAUGUGCCAUGAGAGAUGUAAUCAACAUCUGGAACCUGGGUUUCUAAAAAGCAAAGACGUCACAUGGAUUUAUCAUACUAUUGAUACCUGCAGACAUGCCAACAGCCAGGAUGAAAACAUUUUUCCCUGCAGCACUGGUGCCAGGCAAAAUAAUCAUGAGCAUUGAAAACAGAAGUUCAUCUCUCAUACCUUCUGUGGAGAGAAGCAGCAGGUGAAGACAGUGGAUGCCUUAGACACAGCUGCAGUGAUGGUCAUUUCAGUUUUUGCACUGAAAUCCUUGUAUCCAUCUCUGAUUAUCUUGAGAAGUCUUAUGCAGACACAGAACUAGACUACGAAAGGUCUCUGAGUAUUUCAGCUGCUUAAUAUUCCCCACAGAGUGCUGGACAGCAAAAUAUCUCUGUAUGUAUUUAAAUGUUAACCAUUCUAAGCACUGCUUUACAGCUGAUAUUGCUUAUUGCAAAACCUCAUCAACUUUGUGGUAAUUGUCUGUGUACCAGAACAGAUCGGAUUGGUGGUGUUCUCAGUCAUAUUUGUUUCUGUCAGUAUAAGUUGAGGGACUGAAGGA